rnacentral:rRNA from 1 species
UAACGAAUAUUGGGCAAUGGGCGAAAGCCUGACCCAGCAAUGCCGCGUGCAGGACGAAGUCCUUCGGGAUGUAAACUGCUGUCAGGGGUCCGCAGGCGAAGGGGUCCAACAGGCCCUGGAGUUGAGCAGCCCCAGAGGAAGCCUCGACUAACUCUGUGCCAGCAGUCGCGGUAAGACAGAGGAGGCAAGCGUUGUUCGGAAUCACUGGGCUUAAAGCGCGUGUAGGCGGCUUAGAAAGUGUCGUGUGAAAUCCCGCGGCUCAACCGCGGAACUGCACGGCAAACUACUUGGCUUGAGGUCGGUAGAGGUGCCUGGAACUCUAGGUGGAGCGGUGAAAUGCGUAGAUAUCGAGAGGAACACCCGUGGCGAAGGCGAGUCCCUGGACAAUUCCUGACGCUGAGGCACGAAAGCUAGGGGAGCAAACA